rnacentral:rRNA from 1 species
UACGGAGGGUGCAAACGUUGCUCGGAAUCAUUGGGCGUAAAGCGUGUGUAGGCGGUUUGUUAAGUCGGGUGUGAAAGCCCUGGGCUCAACCCAGGAAGUGCAUUCGAAACUGGCAAACUUGAGUACGGGAGAGGGUCGCGGAAUUCCCGGUGUAGAGGUGAAAUUCGUAGAUAUCGAGAGGAACACCGGUGGCGAAGGCGGCCUUCUGGACAGUGACUGACGCUGAGACGCGAAAGCGUGGGGAGCAAACAGG